CCUACGGGUGGCAGCAGUGAGGAAUAUUGGUCAAUGGGCGCGAGCCUGAACCAGCCAAGUAGCGUGAAGGAUGACUGCCCUAUGGGUUGUAAACUUCUUUUAUAAGGGAAUAAAGUGAGCCACGUGUGCCUUUUUGUAUGUACCUUAUGAAUAAGGAUCGGCUAACUCCGUGCCAGCAGCCGCGGUAAUACGGAGGAUCCGAGCGUUAUCCGGAUUUAUUGGGUUUAAAGGGAGCGUAGGUGGGUGGUUAAGUCAGUUGUGAAAGUUUGCGGCUCAACCGUAAAAUUGCAGUUGAUACUGGCAGUCUUGAGUACAGUAGAGGUAGGCGGAAUUCGUGGUGUAGCGGUGAAAUGCUUAGAUAUCACGAAGAACUCCGAUUGCGAAGGCAGCUCACUAAACUGCAACUGACAUUGAGGCUCGAAAGUGUGGGUAUCAAACAGGAUUAGAUACCCCAGUAGUC
rnacentral:rRNA from 1 species